GACGAACGCUGGCGGCGUGCUUAACACAUGCAAGUCGAACGGAAAGGCCCUGCUUUUGUGGGGUGCUCGAGUGGCGAACGGGUGAGUAACACGUGAGUAACCUGCCCUUGACUUUGGGAUAACUUCAGGAAACUGGGGCUAAUACCGGAUAGGAGCUCCUGCUGCAUGGUGGGGGUUGGAAAGUUUCGGCGGUUGGGGAUGGACUCGCGGCUUAUCAGCUUGUUGGUGGGGUAGUGGCUUACCAAGGCUUUGACGGGUAGCCGGCCUGAGAGGGUGACCGGCCACAUUGGGACUGAGAUACGGCCCAGACUCCUACGGGAGGCAGCAGUGGGGAAUAUUGCAAAAUGGGCGGAAGCCUAAUGCAGCAACGCCGCGUGCGGGAUGACGGCCUUCGGGUUGUAAACCGCUUUCGCCUGUGACGAAGCGUGAGUGACGGUAAUGGGUAAAGAAGCACCGGCUAACUACGUG
rnacentral:rRNA from 1 species